rnacentral:misc_RNA from 1 species
UGAACGCCAAAUACCUCAUAAAUCACUAGAAAAAAAAACUAAAAUUCAAAGCGAAAUGGAUCAACAGUUACCACCGACGAACUUCCCGGUAGAUUUUCCGGUGUAUCGCCGGAAUUCAAGCUUCAGUCGUCUAAUUCCCUGUUUAACUGAAAAAUGGGGAGAUUUACCACUAAAAGUCGACGAUUCCGAAGAUAUGGUAAUUUACGGUCUAUUAAAAGACGCUCUAAGCGUCGGAUGGUCGCCGUUUAAUUUCACCGCCGGCGAAGUAAAAUCGGAGCCGAGAGAAGAAAUUGAAUCGUCGCCUGAAUUUUCACCUUCUCCGGCGGAGACCACGGCAGCUCCGGCGGCUGAAACACCGAAAGGAAGACAUUAUAGAGGCGUUAGACAGCGUCCGUGGGGGAAAUUUGCGGCGGAGAUUAGAGAUCCGGCGAAGAACGGAGCUAGGGUUUGGCUUGGAACGUACGAAACAGCUGAAGAAGCUGCAAUUGCUUAUGAUAAAGCUGCUUAUAGAAUGAGAGGAUCAAAAGCACAUUUGAAUUUCCCGCACCGGAUCGGUUUGAAUGAACCGGAACCGGUUCGAGUUACGGCGAAAAGGCGAGCAUCGCCGGAACCGGCAAGCUCGUCGGGAAACGGUUCCAUGAAACGGAGAAGAAAAGCCGUUCAGAAAUGUGAUGGAGAAAUGGCGAGUAGAUCAAGUGUCAUGCAAGUUGGAUGUCAAAUUGAACAAUUGACAGGUGUCCAUCAACUAUUGGUCAUUUAAAAAGCCGAAUAUUUCUCCGAACGCAAAAUACUAUAUGAUUUUUCCAAAUUUAUUGUAAAUACGUAAUACUCUAUGAUAACGGAGAAAAUAGAAAGUUGAAUUGGAAAAAUAUUGUGAUAGGGUUAAUCCAA